UACGGGGGGGGGCAAGCGUUGUUCGGAAUUACUGGGCGUAAAGGGCUCGUAGGCGGCCAACUAAGUCGGACGUGAAAUCCCUCGGCUCAACCGGGGAACUGCGUCCGAUACUGGAUGGCUAGAGUUCGGCAGAGGGAAGCGGAAUUUCGGGUGUAGCGGUGAAAUGCGUAGAUAUCCGAAGGAACAUCAGUGGCGAAAGCGGCUUCCUGGACCAGAACUGACGAUCAGGCACGAAAGCGUGGGGAGCAAACAGG
rnacentral:rRNA from 1 species